GCUGGGCGUGGUGGUGUGUGCCUGUAAUCCCAGCUACUUGGGAGGCUGAGGUAGGAGAAUCACUUGAACUCAGGAGGCGGAGGUUGCAGUGAGCCGGGAUGGCACCACUGCACUCCAGCCUGGGUGACAGAGUGAGACCCUGUCUUUA
rnacentral:sRNA from 1 species